CCUGAUGAUUUGUUCUUCAAUCGACAACUCUUGACGUCGUGCCAGAUGAAGAUCGCAUAGUUCGAUCGAAACACGUGUAGCACCGAAAAUAAAAAUUAAAUAUAUUUUUCAUCGUC